rnacentral:tRNA from 1 species
GAGGGUAUCAUUCAGUGGCAGUGUGCAUGCUUGGCAUGCAGGAGGUCCUGGGUUCAAUCCUCAGUACCUCCA